UCCCUGGUAGUCCAGUAGCUAAGAUUUCAUGCUCCCAAUGUGGGGGGCCUGGGUUCAAUCCCUGACCAGGGAA
rnacentral:tRNA from 1 species